AAGCGGUGGAGCAUGUGGAUCAAUUCGAAGCAACGCGAAGAACCUUACCUGGGUUUGACAUGCACGGAUGCCGUCGAUGAAAGUCGAGCCGGCUGCCUUCGGGUGAAACGUGUACAGGUGCUGCAUGGCUGUCGUCAGCUCGUGCUGUGAAGUGUCGGGUUAAGUCCCUUAACGAGCGAAACCCUUAUCGCUAGUUGCCAGCGGGUCAUGCCGGGAACUCUAGUGAGACUGCCGGCGUCAAGCCGGAGGAAGGCGGGGACG
rnacentral:rRNA from 1 species